rnacentral:piRNA from 1 species
AUUUAUGAGUCCUCUGAGAAGUU